GAUGAACGCUGGCGGCGUGCCUAAUACAUGCAAGUCGAGCGAACGGACGAGAAGCUUGCUUCUCUGAUGUUAGCGGCGGACGGGUGAGUAACACGUGGAUAACCUACCUAUAAGACUGGGAUAACUUCGGGAAACCGGAGCUAAUACCGGAUAAUAUUUUGAACCGCAUGGUUCAAAAGUGAAAGACGGUCUUGCUGUCACUUAUAGAUGGAUCCGCGCUGCAUUAGCUAGUUGGUAAGGUAACGGCUUACCAAGGCAACGAUGCAUAGCCGACCUGAGAGGGUGAUCGGCCACACUGGAACUGAGACACGGUCCAGACUCCUACGGGAGGCAGCAGUAGGGAAUCUUCCGCAAUGGGCGAAAGCCUGACGGAGCAACGCCGCGUGAGUGAUGAAGGUCUUCGGAUCGUAAAACUCUGUUAUUAGGGAAGAACAUAUGUGUAAGUAACUGUGCACAUCUUGACGGUACCUAAUCAGAAAGCCACGGCUAACUACGUGCCAGCAGCCGCGGUAAUACGUAGGUGGCAAGCGUUAUCCGGAUUAUUGGGCGUAAAGCGCGCGUAGGCGGUUUUUUAAGUCUGAUGUGAAAGCCCACGGCUCAACCGUGGAGGGUCAUUGGAAACUGGAAAACUUGAGUGCAGAAGAGGAAAGUGGAAUUCCAUGUGUAGCGGUGAAAUGCGCAGAGAUAUGGAGGAACACCAGUGGCGAAGGCGACUUUCUGGUCUGUAACUGACGCUGAUGUGCGAAAGCGUGGGGAUCAAACAGGAUUAGAUACCCUGGUAGUCCACGCCGUAAACGAUGAGUGCUAAGUGUUAGGGGGUUUCCGCCCCUUAGUGCUGCAGCUAACGCAUUAAGCACUCCGCCUGGGGAGUACGACCGCAAGGUUGAAACUCAAAGGAAUUGACGGGGACCCGCACAAGCGGUGGAGCAUGUGGUUUAAUUCGAAGCAACGCGAAGAGCCUUACCAAAUCUUGACAUCCUUUGACAACUCUAGAGAUAGAGCCUUCCCCUUCGGGGGACAAAGUGACAGGUGGUGCAUGGUUGUCGUCAGCUCGUGUCGUGAGAUGUUGGGUUAAGUCCCGCAACGAGCGCAACCCUUAAGCUUAGUUGCCAUCAUUAAGUUGGGCACUCUAAGUUGACUGCCGGUGACAAACCGGAGGAAGGUGGGGAUGACGUCAAAUCAUCAUGCCCCUUAUGAUUUGGGCUACACACGUGCUACAAUGGACAAUACAAAGGGCAGCGAAACCGCGAGGUCAAGCAAAUCCCAUAAAGUUGUUCUCAGUUCGGAUUGUAGUCUGCAACUCGACUACAUGAAGCUGGAAUCGCUAGUAAUCGUAGAUCAGCAUGCUACGGUGAAUACGUUCCCGGGUCU
rnacentral:rRNA from 1 species